AGCUCAGUGGUGAGCCCUUGCCUUGCAUGCAGGAGGACCUGGGUUCAAUCCCUAG
rnacentral:tRNA from 1 species